rnacentral:rRNA from 1 species
GUGGGGAAUAUUUGACAAUGGGGGGAACCCUGAUCCAGCCAUGCCGCGUGUGUGAAGAAGGCCUUUUGGUUGUAAAGCACUUUAAGCGAGGAGGAGGCUACCGAGAUUAAUACUCUUGGAUAGUGGACGUUACUCGCAGAAUAAGCACCGGCUAACUCUGUGCCAGCAGCCGCGGUAAUACAGAGGGUGCGAGCGUUAAUCGGAUUUACUGGGCGUACAGCGUGCGUAGGCGGCUUUUUAAGUCGGAUGUGAAAUCCCCGAGCUUAACUUGGGAAUUGCAUUCGAUACUGGGAAGCUAGAGUAUGGGAGAGGAUGGUAGAAUUCCAGGUGUAGCGGUGAAAUGCGUAGAGAUCUGGAGGAAUACCGAUGGCGAAGGCAGCCAUCUGGCCUAAUACUGACGCUGAGGUACGAAAGCAUGGGGAGCAAACAGGAUUAGAAACCCCGGUAGUCC